GGAGUGAGGAACUCCAGCACCUUCUCUUUUGGCUGGGCUCUGACUGCUGUCCUCUGGCGUGGUGGCCAGGGCCUUGGUGAGCCCGGGUACCAGGCUGAGGCUCGAAGGACAGACCUCUCAGCAUGAAGUGGCCAAAGGUAGAGAAGAGCUAUCCGAUGGCUCCUCCCUGCAGGGAAAGAGCAGUCCUCUCUCGAGCAACGUUCCGGCUGGCCUUGGAGUCUCCCAUAGUUUGGAGGUGGAUCCGACUGGCUGAGUCCACCUGUCCUGCAGCAGGCCCCGCAGGUGUUUUUGACCUCAGAGGGCUGCAGAACCUCCUCAGAGCGCCAUUUUUGAACGUGCCACUGUGAAGAGACCAUGUUGACUCGGCUCAACCUCUGGACCUACAGCUCCACGCCCAUCCCUCCAGGUGUGACCCAUGCUCCCUGCCCUAGGGGACUCUGCAGGGCCAGCUUGGCCACGCCAGGCUGUGGAGGCUGGGGGCGGGAGCCACGGGAGCCAGCCCUCCUCGAGUGUUCAGGCCGGGCUGGUGAAUCACUUUCCC